GCACACCACCUCCACCGUC
rnacentral:snRNA from 1 species